UGCGGGGUAGAGCAGAGGCAGCUCGUCGGGCUCAUAACCCGGAGGUCACACGUUCGAAUCGUGUCCCCGCUA
rnacentral:tRNA from 1 species